AGAGUUUGAUCAUGGCUCAGAAUCAACGCUGGCGGCGUGCCUCAGACAUGCAAGUCGAACGAUUAAAGCUCCCUUCGGGGAGUGCAUAAAGUGGCGCACGGGUGAGUAACACGUAAGUAAUCUACCCUCGGGUGGGGAAUAACGUUCGGAAACGGACGCUAAUACCGCAUAAUGCAGCGGCACCGCAAGGUGACAGUUGUUAAAGAUUUAUUGCCUGGGGAGGAGCUUGCGGCAGAUUAGCUUGUUGGUAAGGUAACGGCUUACCAAGGCUACGAUCUGUAUCCGGUCUAAGAGGACGGUCGGACACACUGACACUGAAUAACGGGUCAGACUCCUACGGGAGGCAGCAGUCGGGAAUUUUGGGCAAUGGGGGAAACCCUGACCCAGCAACGCCGCGUGAAGGAUGAAGUAUUUCGGUAUGUAAACUUCGAAAGAAUAGGAAGAAUUAAUGACGGUACUAUAUAA
rnacentral:rRNA from 1 species